rnacentral:tRNA from 1 species
GCGGGUAUCGUAUAGGGGCUAUUAUAUCUGCCUUCCAAGCAGAUGAGACGGGUUCGAAUCCCGUUACCCGCU